CCUUGCGCGGUGAUCGGGCUCGCCUCAUUUAUCUGCUCUCAUAACCGCGUCACUCAUAUCCAAAACCCCAAACACAUGCAACACAUGCAACACAUGCAACGCUACACACAUAAAUGCUUACUGAGUUUUUUAUGUAGGCUACACUUUGUUAUGGUGUGGCCUGUUAGGCCCACGCCAGCACCAAUCCAUCUUCUAUCUACCUCUCCUAGUAAAGAAAACCUUAGUAAUUCUGAUUCACCCCAUCUUUUUCACUUCCCCUCUCUACCAGCGCCGCCGUCAGCACCUCCGGACCUCGCCGCCGGAGCAACACGGCCGCCACCACCUCCAGGUCAGCAGGUGAGAUCCCCUCCCCUCGCGCCUUCCUCGUCAGCAGACGCCAUGAAAUAUGUGGAUUCUGUUUUUUUGUGUAUAAGAUUGUAGUGUCGAAUUAGAUUUAGUGGUAUAGGAUCCAAUUACACUUAGUAGAAUUUGAUUUAUUAGUGUAGAAGCCGAUUAUAUAUUUAUUAGUGUAGAUUUUUUUAGUAGUGUCCAAAUUGAUAUGCUUUUUUGUACAAUGACGCCACCACGACCGCCAUCAUGUCAACUAUGCAAGUGAAGGUGUGCCACUAGGCUUGCUACUGACGAUCUGUUCAGCAUCUACUUCUAGCGGUGCUAUGUUUCUUCAGUGGUAACAAUAAACCUUCUUCUCCAAUAGGAUGUAUAUGCCUGCUUUUUCUAUUACCACUAGUGUUGUGUGUGUUUUUGUUUUUUGUUACACGGAUCGUCCCAUGCAAUGUGAGAAUGAAAUUCAAUGAGCUGACCGAAGACACCAUGGUCUUUGAGACUCCUGAGGGCCCCUACACUUUGGAGGUCGAUAAAUGACCAAGGAUGACCCAGAUGGAAGGAAAUGGAUGGGAUUGUUUCCUCGCCCACAAUCGUCUCACUAGGGGUAAAUUGAUUACUUCUCCUUCAGAGGAUGAAGACAAAGGGUGGCUAUUAUCUAUAUCAACAGUUCAACACGGAUGAUGAUGAGGAGGACCGAUUUGACGAUGUCGUCUUUGCCCACAGAAUGAGGUUGAAUGAUGAUGAGACCUGCAACCUCUUGGACAACCUUCUAUCACGUGAUGACUACGUCGGGGUGCCAUUCGUGACCUGUCCGACAAGGACAAAUAUUAUCGGCCGCCAUAUCUCUACUCCUUCUCCCUAGCUGGUUCUCCAUGAGGAAGUAUGGUGUGAAGAAGAGAGGGAGCCAUGGAGAAGGUGAGAUGGGCAUUUCCCGGUUUUAAAGGAGAGGGCUCCAGCGAGAAAUGUCCUGCUACGACGGGAAACCAAGCUGGAAGGGAAGAGUUCAGCAUGAAAAUGGAAGGGUGCGUCAUGGGGUAGGUUUUUUUUGUGUGUGGACCGAGUGCGUGGAGAUAACACGGUGGAUAGUCCGGACAACCAAAUUUCUCUCCAACAUAUGGGCUAGAUUUGGGAGAGUCCGGACUGCCCAGAGAGUUGGAUUUUGGGAGCCUGUUGGGUGCCUGUUGGAUAUCUGAACACGCCUGGAUGCCUGUUUGAUGUCUGAACACGCCUCAACAUAUGAGAGAGAACUGAGCUUCAACAUUGCAGACUACUUUAAUCAUUUGUUUGAUUUAUUUAUAUGCAUUGUAGCCCGUAGCAACGAGCACGGGCAUUCUACUAGUCAUAGUAUGUUACUUAGUGUAGUAUUUUGUUUAGUGUGGAAUCUGCUUAAUGUGCUUAGUUGUGUAGAAUUUGGUUGAUAUGCUUAGUGUAGAAUCUGAUUGAUAUGCUUAGUGUAGAAUCGACCUGAUUGAUAUGCUUACUGUAGAAUCUGAUGAUAUACUUAGUGUAGAAUCCGAUGAUAUAUGUGAAUUGAAGUGUAUCCUUUUUUAAUAAUUGCGCAUGACAUGUUCAUUUGUCACAGUGUAUGGGUUUUUUUAUGUAGAACCCGAAUGAUAUGCUUGCAAGAUUAUGUGCGAGGCUACUUAAUUGACAUUGUUGCUAUACUUAUAUAUGUUUUUUCUUCAGACAUUGCCUAAGAGGCUAGCUCUAAGCUGUGGCAUCGAGGCUGAUCAGGCUAGAUGGAGUACACCAUACAGCAAGGGGCUUCGUCUUCACCUAUGCAUACGUAGCGGACACGGGCGGUCUCACUAUCUUAAGCAUGGUGGGGUGGAAGAACUUCCUCGUUGGCAAGAAUUUUCAGGUUAGAUAAGCCGUUAUAGUCACUACCAGGAACGCCAGACACCAUGACUUGAUGAUGAUAAUCGUCAUCAACAUCAUUUAAAAGAAUAUGUGUCCAUGGGCCAUCGAUGGUGGUACUAAGUCUUAAAUAAACUAGGUAUUAAAUAUUAGUUCGUGUGUAGUGCAUGUCGAUAAUGACUAAUCGCUAGCUAGAACUAUUUGUUAGAUUGAUGAUUGUCGGAUAUCUUCUUUAUAUAAUUGCCUAGUUUGGCCAUUGCGCCGCUACUGGUCUAUAUAAUUACCUAUGUGAUCGAGAUGAAAAAUGAUAUAUGGUGGUGCAAAUAAAAGAAAUUAACUGCAAAAACUGAUGUUGGCGUGCGUGUUACAUGGGACGCCGCUAGGUGAGAAAUAAUAAUGCUAGCAUGGGACAUGUGGCACGCCACAAGCACUUAAAUUACUAGUGACGUGGGCACUAAUGCAACCACUAUUUUUUAACAAUGGCGCCAUGUUGGUGACGUUGGGCUCGCAUGCCAGCAAGGCACUUUUUGCCAUGUCAUAGCUAGGCUUUUCUGCACUAGUGUGUGCCUCUCCAUGUAGGCAUCGGCAUGCAGCGAUGCGGCAUCGUCGAAGCUGGAGCUACAGUCGGCCAUCACGUCGAAGUCGUUGGAGCACCUUUGGUCCGUCAGCCUCCAGAGAAGGCGGUCAUGUUCCUUCGCAUGUCGGGCCGCCUUCGCCUUGGCCGCCGCCUACUUGGAUGCCUCGCGCUUCGACAACUCGAUGGCGAGCCGGAAUGCCUUGGUAUUCUUGCGGCGGAGCCGCCGUGCAUCGGUCUCACCGUCGUGAGGGAAUGACGGGUGGGAGGAGUGCGUCCUCGAGAUCCAUUGGCGCUGACGCGUGCCCGGCGCACGGCCAAUGCCUCCCCUGCCACUGCCCGCUCCAUCGCUCAUGCGGGCUCCCCAUGCCUUAGAUUCAAGCGUCCUCAUCCACGCUGGCACCGGUGCGGGCACGAGGACCCAGGGGUGCAUGGUACCCCUUCCAGAGAAGAUUGAACCUGCGGUGGUGGGCGGCGUACCUAGACAGGCGCGGAGCAGCUGGAGCUGCGUGGCGGGCAGGAGGGCACGACGACGUCGCCGGCGCUGCGUUGCCCGGAGAUGGGCGCUACGGAAGCGGAGCUACCGUUGCCGCCUAUAUCGAGCCGCGACCGCCUCAAAGCCGUUGUCUCCCAUGGUUCGGCCAAACCAAGAGGUGGAGUCAUCCAAGGGCUCCCCUCGUCCGUCCCCUCGCCCCCGAGCAAACCCUAUGGGGCAGGACCAGUUCGCCCUUGUGGGUCUUGCCCCUAGCGGGCAGCCCACCAGGACCCUUACAUAACGUUUUGCAAGCUUUUGGAGCCUUCUAGUGGCUUCAGGGCCUUCUAGUACAUUAUCGAGCACUUCUGGGAGACUCCCAACAUUACAGGGACAUUUCGAGGACCUCCAGGAACACUUUUGAACCCCAUCCUCUCAUUCUAUAUUGUCUCCUAGCUCGUUUCCAUACCACUAGUCGUUAAGCGUGUGACCCUACAUGUUUGCCCAUAUGCGGAUAUGUCGGCAACACCGUUCGGUCAAUAAUUAUUAGCGAGGUUUGGACACCCAUAAUAAUUCCCGCAUGCCAACGAAGAUAUUUAUCGAGCGAACCUUUUAUUAUCACAUACGAUUCUCUUUGCUUCAUGAUACUUUUCAAAAGUCUAGGCGAGACUUUUACGGUAUCCAUGUGAUCAACACUUCGAUCACAAUACCUCGUUACUGGUUUGUACGCUUUUCAUGUUACAUAUUCCGAUGUCCUUGUGACUAACACCUUAGCCACUAUGCUUGGCCAAGUGAUGAUGGACAUUGUAAGACCGAGUGGGCCCAAGUGUAUCUCUUCAGCACCUGAGGAGCAAAUCCCAGUCUUGACAUAUCAAAUACCACAACGUAAUUUAUUUUUUAAUACCUGAAAGCUUUUAUAAUCACCCAAUUAAGAAGUGAUGUCUACGCAAAGUAAUCAUCCGGUAUCCGAGUAUAUGAUAUUCUCAUGGUCUAAGUACACAAGUAACGUUAACUCUUUAUACGAAAAUACCGACAACAUAUUGACAACGUGAUUUCGUAGUAUUUCAUAACUUGAGUUCAUCCAACAGCAUUGUCACCCUAGCAAUGUGUUAUCAUUAUUGUCGUCAUCUUCAUUACAAUAACAUUACCAUGGUUUAGGAAAAUAGAAUCAUCAACAAUACAUGAGCUAGUCUAGAAGCCAGACUAGGGAUCUGAUUGAUGUUUAUCUUCCCAUUCCACAUGCAAAUAGGGUUUUCUUCGAAUCUCACAUUCAAGAACCAUUGCAAUUAUAGCACCGAAAUAUAAACUUAAUUAUGAACAAGAAAAUAGCAUAAUGAUAAUUUUAUUAUUGAUUUUAGGGCAUAUUUUCAAAAGUGAUCCCAUGGCUUGAGGGAACUAAGUCUCCUACAACCGUAUUACUCACUGCUAGAUGACACGCCUAUCAAAAGGGAUAGGGGCCUCUUUGAUAUAUAGGAAAAGUGGAUUAAAACAUAGGAAUAAGAAACAUUUCCUAUGGGAUAUUAUUCAUCCAUUUGAUUCAAAGGAAGUGUCCAUAGGAAAAAGUAGGAUUUUUCUCCUUCAGAUUGAGUUUCGUAGGUAAUAGCAAGGGAAUUUUACAAUCCACUGAAAUCUCUUUUUUACAUUCCUAUGAACAAAAAAUGAGGCAAAUACUAUAAGUAGCAUAUUAACUCAAUGCUAACUUUGCAUAUGUUUUAACAUUAAUUUGACCAUGCCCCAAGCCCUUUAAAUUCUGACACGUAAUAACCACGACAUCCACCGAAAACAAUUGUCAAACGCAAUCGCAACACCGAAGAGAGAUAGUUGAGCGCCAUAUAAAAGUAACACAUUGCAAGUUUGUAACUGUGCAAGACAAGAUUUAUUUUAGUUCAAAUCAUGUUUACAUUUUGAACUGGCCGUGUCCAUCACAGCCUGCAAACACCACUUCUUUACAGGCCAUCAAACAUCAUAGAUACAAGCUGACAAUGAAGAUGUAUGAAAGAAGACUAUACAGCUAGACUAACCUGUAAUUCUGUUUGACGAGUACAUCACUCGUUCGAGGUCAGCUUAUUCUUUUUUCCUUGUGCAGGUAUGACUGAGUAGUACCAAACAUGCCUGGUUGCACUUACAGUGCUGCAGAUGGCACAGCAGUCAGUUUUCCACGUACUCGAGUAUCGCGCCUGUAUGAUUGAAGCCACAUGAUACAUGAACAGCACUUGCAUUCUUGCCAAGUUCUACCAUCAUCGGCUCGCAAUAGUCGACGUCGUUUCCAUGCCCCUGCAAAGCAGAGGCACUGGUCAGCAAAAUCAGGUGAAACGAGCAGUUUUACCAUGAUAUGUAGAAUCAUUGUUAACAUGAUUUCAUGGAAAUUGUGCAAGCAGGUACAAAGAUGCCAAACAUCGGCAUCAAGUACUAAUAAAUUGUUGUAGUGGCAGCAAGCAACUCACUAAUUGCCCGCCAGAAGAAUGGCCCUCUUCGAAGAAGGUACCGUUGGCACCUCCCCAGCCCCACGUGUAGAUAUCUUCACCUGAACGUUUUGAGAUGUUCUGAGUAUCACAGGCAAUGUGGCAACAAAAGAGAAAAGACAACCCAUAAGAUCUUAUUUGAAGAUAGCAUGGCAACUUUUCUCAGGUACUACCUCCUUUCCUAAAUAUAUGACGUCUUGAUGGUUUAAUUUAAACUGCCAAAACGUCUUAUAUUUAGAAACAGAGGGUGUAUAUAUCAUAAGAAUAGAAGAACACCAUUCUUUCUUUAGACUGGGUGCAACUGGUUUCGAGUCCUCUUGGGUGUGAAUUUGGGUUCUCACUAUAAAAUAAAAUAAAAGUAGGGCCUUCCCCUGCCACUUUCCUUUCCAAGAAAGAAAUACUUAUGUUGUUCAUUCAAAUGGACAUAGAAAAUGGGAUGGAAAGUCAGGCAGAUGUCAUGAAACAAUAAUAACCCUUUACUAUUGCGAGGUUUUGUCUCUCUGAAUUGUGUGUACAACUAGUUAAGUCAAGCCAUGUGUGUGUACCCUGCAUUUUAUAUUACUGUGACAUGAUAUCCUCAACUCAAUACCCAGUGCAAGUAUAGUCUAGUAGAACUAUCGUUCUAUUUUCUUGUUGCUAUACAUACUUGAGAGAUACAAUUGUCUAGCCAAGGGAACUCCAUGAAAAUAAGUUGUGUAAUGAGACCUAAUGAUGGACACCCUGUGUCAAGAUAUAAGUAUUUGCUUCAUAACAUAAUUUUCUAGUACUAGUUAGAACUUAGAACCCAGCAUACAAUAGAAAUGAUAAAACAAUUUGAUACCUGAAAUUGCAGCUGUGUGCUUCCAACCACAGGAUACCUGCAGAAGGUAGACGGUGAAGAUUCGCCAGAAAUCAAGAAAUAUAUUUUCCUUUUUGCGAGGGGAGAAAUGAAUUGUCUUUUCUUUGCAAGGAAAGAAACAAGCAGCCUUUUUUUGCAAGGGAAAAAAACAUUGCAGUAUAAAUAGAAAUUGAACCAAUGACUAGACAUACUGCAUACCAACCUUAGAUACAGGAAGCUUAAAUAAUGAACUUCUUACAACUUCUGGGAAGCGAACCAUGCCUGUACCUCUGGGAAGCGAUACUAUGUAAGUCAGCAAUCCCAGAGUUUGAUGCAAAUGAAAACUUCUAGAAGCAGUAGUAGAUGGAAGUACCCAAGACCAAGGCAGCCAUUUUCAUUUGAACCCCAAGAGUACAAAUCUCCACGAUCUGCAAAAUAUCACGGGUAUCCAUGUCACCAUUUUCAGAUCCUUAGAACAGUUGAAUAGAACUGAUAGUUGUCACUGAUAAAUUGUAAAAAUAUAACACCAUCCAAGCCAUGUCCCUUGCCACGAGAUAGAAAUAUUUGCUUAGCAAUUCAGUAAUUAUGCUAGUAAAAUAAGCAUUAAGGAUUAAGCUACAAAAUUGAAGAGAGUUAAAAGGGCAGACCUCCACAAUGACAAUCUAUAAGAAAUUUCAUGUAAAAUAUGCUUCCACUAUGAAGUACAUAAAGAUUUUACAAUGUGCAAGUCCACAAUUUGUUCAAUUUGAACUGCUUGAGUUGAUCAUUCAAGAAAAUAGAGGGACAGUUUGUGGAGACAAAAUGGACAUGCAUGGAUGUAAAACUCAAGCUGCAUAAUCCUUUAAAGUGCAUAAGGUGCUAUUGAAGAAAACCCCAUAUAUGCCAAGUUUAUACUGUACAUGUUAUGGUUGUGGGUUCACAAGGGAACAGGACAUAGGGCAUAUCUGUGAGGGCAUUGGAUAGGUUAUGUUAGAGAUAGAAAGGUUAAGAAAAGACUCUAGUUAAAUUAGGAACAGUCCAAUUAAACUAGGAAGAUAGAGUCACGGUUUGAUCUUGAGUGUCUUGUAUGAAUUGAGAACUGAUUUGUGGAUCAAAGUUAGUCGCUUUAUUUAAGGACUAGCAUGUAACAAACUUAAUGAAGCAAUAAGAGAAUAGUUUAUCAAUCUGUUAUCUCCCUCAUUUCCACCUUCCCCAACCUAUGUUCUACUCCUCAAUCCCCUAUUCCAUGCCAUCCGGCCAUCUUCAUGGCGGUAGUUACCCAGUUUGUUCCAUUCCACCACCGCAUCUAGGACAAACCAUGGCCUGAUCAGAUAUGUUGUCAGUCUGCACGGCUUCACCAAGUGCAAUAUAGAGAUGAAGAUAUUUUGACCUGAGAUCCUAGUCCCCCGAAAAGGAUUAUGUAUCAGUAUCAGUGUAUAACUAUUCCUAAAAUUUGUUUUUCUUUAUUUGGAGACCAAAUCUGAAGGACAGGCCUCGCGCAGUGGUGAAGUACUCCCCACUUGUGCCAAGAGGUCCUGGGUUCGACACGGCCUCCCUGCAUUGCACUGUGCAGGGGUAAGGCUUGCCUCGUAUGAUCAUUCCCUAGACCCCACCUGGUGUUGGAGCUUCUGGAACUGGGUCUGUCCUUUAUUUGGAGACCGAAUCUAUUCCUCAAGAAAUAUAUGCAAAUGCAUAUGACCAAAGUUUUUAUCUAAUUCAAUCUACCAAAUUACUGCCAGCAACAGAAAUAAGUGCUCCUCUUUUGAUUUCUGCAUGCACAACUGAUACCUGUUACGGCGCAAGUAUGAUAACCUCCACAAGCAACUUCUUCUGAAAAUUGUAUCUCUUCAACAGCACUUGGUCUAGGUGCAUCAUUUGAUCUUCCAAGUACCUGUAAUUUUGGGUUAAAUACAGGGAAAAUCCCAGGAAGCUAGAUUUAUGGCCAAGAAAAAAUCUCAAUAAAAACAGUAAAAAAAAAUGUCCCAAGAGGCCUGAUUGGAUACCACCUUCUCAGUCUUCUGCCCAAACAUGAACACAGUACCUUUUUCUGCAAUUUUUACGCAAGGAGCACAUAAGAUGAAGAAAUCAUGAUCAGGAGUUGACUACUGUACUACUUUAAACAAUUUUUCUGUGAUCUUACCAUCAAUGCAAGCUGAGUGCAGCAUUCCCGCAGCUAUCCUUUUAAUCUAUCCAAUGCAACGACAUGAACAAUGAGAAGGGGAUCAUUAUUUGAUCAGGACACAGUGAAACUUAAAGCAAAAUACCUUGAUACCAUCAAGGUUUUUUAUCAACCUUGGAGUAUAUUCACUGCACAGAUGAAGAUCAGAUUAUCAAGAAUCCUUCCAGACAAAUAUAGCUUUAGCAUAGUGCAAACAAAUCCAAACCAUCAAGCAUGUUUUACAGUGAAAUAUCCAACAUAAUACCACACAGAUCUUUUCUCGAGCUCAUACUACAUCAUCUCGGAACUAGGAACUUCGGCAAUUAAGUUUGUGACAUGUGAAUUUGUUAUGAGAUGAACAUUAUCUUUCUAAGUACAUAAGUGCCAGCUUCUGAUAGAGAAUUUUGCAUUCUUAAGGUUAAGGUGUUACUAUGUCCAUAUUUUCCAAAUAAAUGACAACAUGAGCUAUCCCAGAAGUUAGAGUGGUGUGUCCACAAUAAGUGCUCUGCAAAAACUUGUGAUCUUACUUUGAGGUCAUAGCGAAUCCCAGGAAGCUAGAUUUAUGGCCAUGUCCAAGUCUACCAGCACCAGCAGCUCCCCAACUCAAGGCUUCACCAUCCUCUUAAGAAGAAAAUAACAGGGGAAUUUCAGAAGCUCAAAAGCAGUAAUAUUCAAGUUAUUACUAUAGCACAAAUACAUAGCACAUUCACCUGUAACAACAAUUGAGUGCUCUGAUCCCAAAGCAGUCAUUUUCACUCUAACAUCAGCCAAGUAGUCAACCUUUCUUGGGGUAGAGACUACUUUUCCUGCACCUAAACCAAGUAGGAAGGACUCUUUAAUUCAGAAUUUUAAGCUGAUGGCAAAUGUUCAGUUUAAUAGCAAGAUUAUUGAUGAAAGAAACAACAGACCAUCAUACCCAGUAAAUCUUAACAGAAGCAUGAGGAUGCUACAGGUGAUGAUGGAAAGACAGGUAGAACAAACUGGAGCUUAAGUGCUCAAGUAUUAUGUACAAGUCAAUCUUAGACAUAGAUGUUUCAGAUAUUUUUUUUUCUUUUGAGGGAAAUUGAUGUUCCAGAUUUUAGUUGGAUCAAAUGACCCCACACCCAUCAGUGUAAAACAAGACACUGUUGAUAACGCCAAAUUGUUAAACCAGUCCAAACAUUCAAUCAUCACAUAUAGCAUGAAGUGGGGGGUACAACCAUGGAUGGUGCUAAGAGUGUAAAGAAAGAAGAUAAUAUUAUUACUUUUGCCAAGGCCAAGCUGGCCACUCGAAUUUUUGCCCCAAACGAAGAGCUCACCAUCGGCUGUUGAAAAGAGAUAGCACAAAAGCUUAUUAAUAUGAAUUGGUUUCGCAAAAAUUCUGAUGUACAUCAUAAAUAAUAAAUAAAUUUGAUUAAAAAAAUGAACACUUCCUCCAGUUCUCGAAAAGACACUGGCACGGUGGGCAAACUAGAACUUUGGUCACUAUUUUCUAUUGUAAUGUAUUUACAAAGCCCAAUAAAAAGUUGUAUACGAUCAGUAAUUUUCAAGACAAAUUGUUGCAUAUGAUUUUUAAGUAUCUUGUCUGAAUAACUUAAGAGACAAUGAUAAUCAAAGUUUGAAAGUUACCAAAUGGCAGCUUCUAGGGAACAGGAGGGAGUAGAAGAUAACGAGCUCGUAGCAUUUACAGUUUGUAUAGUAGUCUUAAGUAUUAGUGAAAUGUUGAUUAACUUGUGAAGAAACAUGUUGUGUGGUGCACGGCAGUACUCAAUCAUCAAUAAAAAAAGGGCAGCCUGGUGCAUGUAGCUCCCGCUUGCGCAGGGUCCGGGGAAGGGUCCGACCACUUUGGGUCUAUUGUACGCAGUCUUUCCCUACAUUUCUGUAAGAGGCUGUUCCCAGGACUUGAACCCGUGACCUCAUGGUCACAAAGCAGCAACUUUACCACUGCAUGUAGCUCCCGCUUGCGCAGGGUCCAGGGAAGGGUCCGACCACUUUGGGUCUAUUGUACGCAGCCUUUCCCUACAUUUCUGUAAGAGGCUGUUCCCAGGACUUGAACCCGUGAUCUCAUGGUCACAAGGCAGCAGCUUUACCACUGCGCCAAGGCUCCCCUUCAGUACUCAAUCAUCAAUACUAAAUAAUAAUCUUAUAUAAUUCUACACAACUUAUGAAGGUACUACGAGCAAUAAGAUGUUUCAACGGCAUGGAUGGACAGUUUAGGUCCAGGUAAAGUGCACAAUUCAAGAUAUCUAUCCUUUCUUAUGAAAAUGAAGCCCAAUUAGUGCAUAUUUCUGUUGCAUAUUUAUAGUUGCCUGUCUCAUUUGUUUAUAUAUGGAUAUAUAGUACUGAGCCACAGAGGGUCCACUAAUAUUUAUAAUCAGCUUCUACUGCAAUAUAAUGUUGAAGACCUAGAGUAUAUUGUGUACGCCACACAGAAACAAGGAGCUCAAAAUUACUUGAUCACUAGCAUAAUGCCCGUGUGCUGCUACGAAGCCAUAAAGAAGAUGAGGAGUUAGCCCACCGGCUUAGGAAUCACCAAAAAACGUUGGUGUCCGGCAGCCGCUGUGAGGUUCACGAUUAUAAGAAAGCAAAAAUACCAUGAGGGGGCAUGCGACGGGCGUUGGAGAAUCUUAAGCGACCAUAGUAGGUCCUUUGAAGAUUUAAAGUGAGACAACAUUUUGAAUGUUGAAACACAUGAUCUGCAUUAGCAAGUUGACUGCACAAGGUCGGCGAUCAGGUAAGAGGACAAGGUCUAUCAUCGGGGUUGGAAUUAUUAUUUGUUUGCUGUCCUAUGCUAUGAUAUAGAACUAGAAAAAUUGGUUGGGAAGGAAAACUAAAACCAAGAGCAUGAUUUUCAGGUGGAGUCUCACGUGAAAGUAGUCCGUAGCAUAUUUAUUUAUUUGUGCUGGGUCCCACAUGUGAAUUAAAAGUACAUUCCUAUAUUUACAUCUUUUGAAGGUUGCUAGUCCACAUAUGGGCAGGAGUGUAUUUGUUUUAUUUGUGAAGGUUGUUGAUCCAUAUGUGAACUCACCACCAACUCCAACCUUUAUAAGUAGGAUAAAAUACUUGGCCAUUGCUAGUAAAGGUUGAUCAAUCAGCCACAUUCUCCAUACAUCUGGGUUUAUAAGGCCCAUUAUCGUUGUCUUAAAAAAUCAGCAUCUAUACUACCAAAUCAAUAUCCUUAGAUAUAUAUCAUGAACUAUGUUUUCAUAAUGUAUUCAUUGAGUAUUGCAUAUAUUGUAUUAUUUUUUGUAUAAACUUGGUCAAACUUUAACUAGUUCAACUUAAGAAAAGAUUAAUAGGCCUUACAAACCCGGAUGGAGGGCUUUAGGCAUAUAACAUAAUUUAAAAGAAAACUUUAUUAAUGGACAGCUCGCUCAAUCUUAUUUAUUUAUCAGAAAUGCUAAAAAUAUGACAUCAGAUUUUUAAGCAUGGCAAAUCUGAUGUCCGGGAAGGCAAAUUAUGUUGUCGCGAGCAUGGCAAUUUCCUUCAGCGAGCAUGGCAAGAUUUGCCAUGCUUAAAAAUCCGAGUCAGACUUGUAGAGAAAUCCUUAUUUAUUACUUAUUAGGACACUACAACUGGGUGCUCUAGGAGCUCCAUCAGGCAUCCAUGCCCCUGGCCGUCAGAUUUUAAUACUAACAAUAAUAUAACAGGUGGUCUUGCUGUUUCCAGUGUCCCCUUCUCAAUAUAUACAUUAACCUUCUUCUGGUAAAGCAAACCUAGGCACAUAACUGCACCUUACUUUUUUCGCUCACCUGUUACUGCACAAGAAUGAUGGUUGCCAGCUGAAAUUUGUACAACUUUCUCGUGAAAUCCAGAGACUUCAACAGGGUCCUACAUGUAAAAGAAAAACCUGUCACUGGAAGAACACGGAUGUGUGGACUAAUGACCUACAAGGGUAAAUAAUAAACAGACAAGAGAACCCCAAAAAAGAACUGUAACAUACAUAAAUUGUAUGUCAAUAGAUGCCAUAAAUUCAUGGAUUGGAGAUUCAAUCUGCUAAAUUUCUUAAGCGGGAGGAAUCAAACAUCUGGUGUAAAACAUUAUACCGACAUCGAAAUAUUUAUAUAGCUAUUCACUUUCAUGCAUAUCUGUAUCUCCUGUACACAUAAAAAUAUUCCAUACAGCAGACUGGUUUCGCAAAGAGAAUAGAACAAACACUGAUUUAAUCUGUCUCAGCUAGUACUAUUUCUGAAGCGUCUGGCUUUGAAUUAAUGGCUUUGAUUAACAGUGUAGACACAAACAUAGGGAGGUAUAACGGACAAGAACCAGUACCAGAGUAUGAGGCAUCGAGGAGCCUAUCCCGAGCUGCCCAAAGUCGUUCAGCCCCGUAGCAAAUACGCGCCCACCCUCUGAAGAAAACGGCAGGUCAGAAUCUCUCGGAAUCCUUUACAUUGCGAUGUCAGGAAAGAAGAAGCAGGUAGGGUGAGGGGAGCGUACCGGUGAGGAAGAGGGUGUGGGCGCCGCCGCAGGCGAGCGAGGUAGGCGGGUCGGCGGGGCGCGUGAGGAAGAAGGGGCACGCCGUGGGGCUCCACCGCGACUCCAGCGCCCCCAGCCCCAGCCGGCCGUGGUCCCCGUUCCCCCACAGCGCCGCCACCCGACGCCGCGCCGGAUUGCCCGAAUCGGCGCCCACUGCCGCGGUGUCGGACGAGAACCAUCGCGGCCGCGGCCACCGCCUCGCCCGCCACAUCGCCGUUCCGCGUUGGAGCUCUGGAGUGGUCGCGUCGCUCGCGGUGUCGGAUAGUCCACGUCGGCGACCUGAUUAUCUCCUCCUAGCAUACUGUCGUCGGUUCAGGCUUUUACCGGUGAGACGUCCGGUUCAUCAGUUCAUUUACGAAAAGAACGAACAUUUAUUUAUUUUUUUAAAUCUGACACUCACAUCAAAUGAAUACACAUAGUAUUGGCUGUAAAUCAGUUACUAAGGGCAUUUUCAACGCUGACCGCAAACUGUCCCAUAUGUCCGGACCGCGCGUGUUGUAUCAUCCAAUACGGAUCUGUAUCGGUCUGAUAAGCGGUCUCAACGUGUUAAUUUCGACAUAGGGAAGACAAAGUGGUGGGCUUUGUGAGAGCCCGGACCCCUACCACACCAGCUCCUGACUACCCUAGCCCACUCAAAAAUCUCACUAGCCUCUCCCACGCUUUUCAUCAAACACAUGCACCGCUUGCCGCACCACAUUCAUGCUGGUCCAAAGCAUGCAGUGGACGACAUUGAUGCCCGCCGUUUGACUGGACGGAAGGGCGGCACAGACAGACGUGACCUCUCGUGUGUCGCUGCUUCAAUGCAUACGUCGUGUCCCGAGAAACCAACUUCGACCAUUGCGCCGCGUUGAAGCGGGCUGACCGCCCCUUCGCCUGGCCUGACCGCGGCUAUUUAAGGGAUGCGCCGGCGAUGCACAAAGCUGCACUCCCCCUUCCCGGGGCAUCAUCCCCUUCCCCUCAUCGUGUUGACACCAAAUUUUGCGAAGGUCAAAAACUUAAUUAAGAUGGCUUCAAAUGGAGAAGUGAUCUACACGGAAAAGUUUCGUAUUGUCGACAUAAACAUCUUUGAAGUUUGGGCCAUCGCCAUCCGAUCUCAUUUCAAAGGCCAAAACUAUGCUUAAAGUACUAAGUUUUUGUAUUCAGAGUAUUGUUCGGCCAAUUAAGCCUCAAAGAUGGCCUCAUAUGAUAAAUGUUUCUACAUGGAUUGUCUUAGUUUCGUCGAAACGGAUGAUUUUGAUAUAUAAAUCGUCUUAAUUCGAGAUUGUAUGCAAAAAUUAGAGGCAAAACGUGCAAUGUUGCAGAAAUCAUGGAGAUGGGCGGACGCCCAAAACCUCCUGUUGCUACCGGACUGUGCGGUAAUUGGGACCAGACUGUCCGAUCUAGGUCGAGAAACAUGUCAGAACCUUCUGUUGUGACCGGACAGUCUGGUCCGGUCGAGCGGACAAUCUGGUCCAAACCGAAAUCGUGUAUCCCCACAAAUAUGAUGAUUGCGGGGGCGAUUAGGCCUUCAAUAUGACCUCGAAUCAAAAAACGUUUAACACGAAAGUUGUUUGUCUCGUUGAAACGGUCAAAUUUUCUUUUGGGUGCAUCUUCAUCCGAAAUCAUUUGUGGCCUGUGAGACCCAAAAACUGAACUGCUAUCUCAGACUUGCCUAAAAUCUGAGUUUGGUUAAUUUUGGAAAAAUUUGGACGGGAUUUGGAGUCCUUUUCUUGUACGUGAAGUCCAGCUGCCUUAUAAAUAGAUAAGAGGUUAUGGCCGAUUGAACAACACACAAUCGACAAAAUCAUCUACCACUUUUUACCUUUACUUUUAUCCUCUCCCUUGUUUUUCUUCUUCCUCGUUCUUCGUUCGUUCUUCUUGUUGUAGGGCGGCGAACCUCGAGGCCCUGGGGCGAUCAGGUCGACCUAGGGCAGCCCAUAGCCACCGCGCGACCUGACGGAGUCCCUCCCGGGCGUGUGGGGUUUCGGGUCUACAAAAACGCCCGCCGGAUUGCUUGCGUACCGCGCUUCCAGACGGGUCUCCUUGGACGUGAGCUACGGUGCAUCACCCCCGGCGUCGAGGGUACACUAUGACGUGUUCGUGUGUGAACACACUUUUUGGCGACUCCGUUGGGGACGAAGCUUCGAACGGUGUUCAGCCUGUUCUUGCUACGAAGAGAUCGUCAUCAAGAAGUUGUGAUCUACAAAGGUAAUAUGAAUACCCAAUUCCCCUUUGUAGAUGCAAGUAAUUCAUAUGUUGUUGUUGGAUCGCUUAAUGAGCAUAAUGUAUCGGCUAGCCCUAGUUUCAUCAAUCAUGCAUCUAAUUAUGUGCAAGGGCUAAUGCAAAAUAAUGUUCAUGCUUCAAAUUCUUAUGAUUUUAGCAACAUACAACAUAUGUAUCCUAACUCUCAUGCAUCGGCAACCCCACACAUCCAUAUGCUGAUGAACAACAUGAUGAGUGAUUACUUGUAUCUACGUUGGUAUUUCCCCGAAGAGGAGAAGAUGAUGCAGCGCAGCAACUAUAAGUAUUUCCCUCAGUUAUGAAACCAAGGUUAUCACUCCAGUAGGAGAAUCAAGCAACACUAUGUAAAUAGCACCUGCACACAAACCACAAAAACUUGCAACCCAACGCAUAAGAGGGGUUGUCAAUCCCUCCUCGGUAUUGAGAUAGAUUAAAUUGUAAGAGAUUGGAUAAAUAGAUCUAGCAAACACACACACAAAAAUAAGUAUAGAAAAAGUGAAGCAAGGUAUUCUCGGAUUUUUGGAUUAAUAGAUCUGAAAAUAAUAUGAUAGAAAAUAGGCCCGGGGUCGUAGAUUUCACUAGAGGCUUCCCUUGAGAAAAUAGCAUACGGUAGGUAAACAAAUUACUGUUGGGCAAUUGAUAGAAGAGCAAAUAAUUAUGACGAUAUCCAAGGCAAUGAUCAUGUAUAUAGGCAUCACGUCCAAGAUUAGUAGAUCGACUCCUGCCUGCAUCUACUACUAUUAUACUCCACACAUCGACCGCUAUCUAGCAUGCAUCUAGUGUAUUAAGUUCAUGAAAAAACGGAGUAAUGCAAUAAGAACAAUGACAUGAUGUAGACAAGAUCUAUUCAUGUAGGAAUAGACACAUAUUUUUAUCCUUAAUAGCAACGAUACAUGCGUGUCAUGUCUCCUUCUGUCACUGAGAUUGAGCACCGCAAAAUCGAAUCCAUCACAAAGCACCUCUUCCCAUGGCAAGAAAAAUCAAUCUAGUUGGCCAAACCAAACCAAAAGUUUUGGAGAAGAAAUACGAGGCUAUAACAAUCAUGCAUAAAAGAGUUCAACAAAGACUCAAAUAAUAUUCAUGGAUAGAACUGAUCAUAAACUCGUAAUUCAUCGGAUCCCAACAAACACACCGCAAAAAGUCAUUAUAUCAAAUAGAUCUCCAAGAACAUCGAGGAGAACAUUGUAUUGAAGAUCAAAAAGAGAGAAGAAGCCAUCUAGCUACUACUUAUGGACCCGUAGGUCUGUGGUGAACUACUCGCGCAUCAUCGGAGGGGAAAGGGUGAUGAUGAAGAACCCCUCCGUGAUCGUUGACCCCUCCGGUAGAGUGCCGGAAAAGGCCUCUAGAUUGGAUCUCAUGGUUCUAGAACUUGCAGCGGCUGGAAUUGUGUUUCGCCGACUCCCUUAGGGUUUUUGGGAUUUAGAGUAUCUAUAGAGCUAAUAGUCGGGGGAGAAGCCUCCCGUGGGCCCCACUACCCACUAGGGCGCUUCUCUGGUGCACUUCUUUAGCUCCCCAAGUGUCUUCUAUCCAGAAAAAAAAUCUCCAAAAAGUUUCGUGGCAUUUGAACUUCGUUUGGUAUUGAUAUUCUGCAAAGUAAAAAAUAAGCAGAAAACAACCACUAGCACUAGGCACUAUAUAUGUUAAUAGGUUAGUUCCAAAAAAUGAUAUAAAGUUGGUAGUAAAUGAGUAUAAAACAUCCAAGAAUGAUACUUUAAUAGCAUGGAACAAUCAAAAAUUAUAGAUACGUUGGAGACAUAUCAAUGGGUUCAGGUAAUCAAUUUGAAACACCUCAUGUAAAAAUUUCCAAUGGCAUACGAGAAAGUGUUUCACCCUUUUAUUCAUCGGCACCUAAUUUGCAAUAUGUGAAUCCAAACAUGUCGAUGGAUGGGAGAAUUGGCCAUCCUACUGCUAACUAUUCGGCCAGUUACUCUCAACCGUCAUAUGCUACACGUCAUGUUAGUAUUUUUUUUUCCGGCACCGUAUACAACUGUAGAUGCUCAUAAUUCGGCUUUGCACCUUUAUUGUCAUAGACGAAUAAGUGAAAAUUUUGCAGGAGUGCACAUGCCAUCAUCUAAUAUUGUAGCAUAUAAUGCAUCCUCUACGCAAUUGCAUAAUUUUGGCAACAUCUCAUUCCGAAAGAAUUGGAAAGUAUUGUGGAGCAAUCCCUUACAGAAUGACUACAUUAAAAAGGGAUAUAGCCCGUAAUAACAAGAUUAGUGCUCUUUGCCUUGAAGAGCAUGAUAAGGGGUUAGUUCAUGAUUAUAAUGCAAUAAAAGCUAGAGUUUUACGAGAAGAUGAAUCUUUGCCAAUUAAUAAAAUUGACGAGCAAAAAAAUGGUUUUACAACAAUGCAUACCCCUUCCCCUAGUACUACAUCAUACUAUAAACCCCUACACAAUUGCAAAGUUUUGGCAACACCCGCGUGUCAUUGCCGAAAGAACCUAAAAGCAUUGGGGGGCAAUCAUAUCCGGAGUGGGCUGAAAUUGAGAAAAAGCUUAAAGCCAAUUUUGCCGCUCGCAAAAAUAAAAAGAAUUGGCUCAAAUAAAAGAAGCAUUGCCAAUUGGUAGAUGAUACGCCUCCAACGUAUCUAUAAUUUUUGAUUGUUCCAUGCUAUUAUAUUAUCAUUCUUGGAUGUUUUAUAAUCAUUUUAUAGUCAUUUUAUAUCAUUUUUGUACCAACCUAUUGACAUAGUGCCAAGUGCCAGUUGCUGUUUUUUGCAUGUUUUUUACAUCGCAGGAAAUCAAUAUCAAACGGAGUCCAAACACCUGUUGGGGAACGUAGUAAUUUCAAAAAAAUUCCUACGCACACGCAAGAUCAUGGUGAUGCAUAGCAACGAGAGGGGAGAGUGUUGUCCACGUACCCUCGUAGACCGAAAGCGGAAGCGUUAUCACAACGCGGUUGAUGUAGUCGUACGUCUUCACGAUCCGACCGAUCAAGUACCGAACGCACGGCACCUCCGAGUUCAGCACACGUUCAGCUCGAUGACGUCCCUUGAACUCCGAUCCAGCCGAGUGUUGAGGGAGAGUUUCGUCAGCACGACGGCGUGGUGACGAUGAUGAUGUUCUACCGACGCAGGGCUUCGCCUAAGCUCCGCAACGAUAUUAUCGAGGUGUAAUUUGGUGGAGGGGGGCACCGCACACGGCUAAGAGAUCUCAAUGAUCAAUUGUUGUGUCUCUGGGGUGCCCCCCUGCCCCCGUAUAUAAAGGAGCAAGGGGAAGGCAGCCGGCCAAGGGGAGAGGCGCGCCAUAGGGGGGAGUCCUACUCCCACCGGGAGUAGGACUCCUCCUUUCCUUGUGGGAGUAGGAGAAGGGAAGGGGGAAGGAGAAAGAAGGAAGGGUGCGCCCCCUUCCCUAGUCCAAUUCGGACCAGACCAUGGGGAGGGGUGCGGCCACCUUUUGAGGCCUUUCUCUCCUUUCCCGUAUGGCCCAUUAAGGCCCAAUACGAAUUCCCGUAACUCUCCGGUACUCCGAAAAAUACCCGAAUCACUCGGAACCUUUCCGAAGUCCGAAUAUAGUCGUCCAAUAUAUCGAUCUUUACGUCUCGACCAUUUCGAGACUCCUCGUCAUAUCCCCGAUCUCAUCCGGGACUCCGAAAUCCUUCGGUACAUCAAAACUCAAUAAAACUGUCAUCGUAACGUUAAGCGUGCGGACCCUACGGGUUCGAGAACUAUGUAGACAUGACCGAGACACGUCUCCGGUCAAUAACCAAUAGCGGGACCUGGAUGCCCAUAUUGGCUCCCACAUAUUCUACGAAGAUCUUUAUCGGUCAGACCGCAUAACAACAUACGUUGUUCCCUUUGUCACCGGUAUGUUACUUGCCCGAGAUUUGAUCGUCGGUAUCUCGAUACCUAGUUCAAUCUCGUUACCGGCAAGUCUCUUUACUCGUUCUGUAACACAUCAUACCGCAACUAACUCAUUAGUCACAAUGCUUGCAAGGCUUAUAGUGAUGUGCAUUACCGAGUGGGCCCAGAGAUACCUCUCCGACAAUUGGAGUGACAAAUCCUAAUCUCGAAAUACGCCAACCCAACAAGUACCUUUGGAGACACCUGUAGAGCACCUUUAUAAUCACCCAUUUACGUUGUGACGUUUGGUAGCACACAAAGUGUUCCUCCGUUAACGGGAGUUGCAUAAUCUCAUAGUCAUAGGAACAUGUAUAAGUCAUGAAGAAAGCAAUAGCAACAUACUAAACGAUCGAGUGCUAAGCUAACGGAAUGGGUCAAGUCAAUCACGUCAUUCUCCUAAUGAGGUGAUCCCGUUAAUCAAAUGACAACUCAUGUCUAUGGCUAGGAAACAUAACCAUCUUUGAUUAACGAGCUAGUCAAGUAGAGGCAUACUAGUGACACUCUUGUUUGUCUAUGUAUUCACACAUGUAUUAUGUUUCCGGUUAAUACAAUUCUAGCAUGAAUAAUAAACAUUUAUCAUGAUAUAAGGAAAUAUAUAAUACUUUAUUAUUGCCUCUAGGGCAUAUUUCCUUCAACACCGCGAUACUUUUGGAGGAUUUUUUAUGGACCAGAACACUUCCAAUGGGCCAGAGCUGCACCAGGGCGCGCCUAGGGGCCCAGAUGCGCCCAGGUGGGUUUUUUCUACUGAAAACGCGCCCAGGUGGGUUGUGCCCACCUCAGUGGCCUCCCGCACCCCCUCUUUACCCUAUAAAUUCACAAAUAUUCCGAAAACCACGGGGUGAACCUAGAUCAGAAGUUCCGCCGCCGCAAGGCCUCUGUAUCCACGAGAUCCAAUCUAGACCCCAUUCCGGCACCAUGCCGAAAGGGGGAAUCAUCACCGGUGGCCAUCUUCAUCAUCCCGACGGCCACCAUGAUGAGGAGGGAGUAGUCCACCCUCGGGGCUGAGGGUUUGUACCAGUAGCUAUGUGUUUAAUCUCUCUCUCUCUCUCGUGUUCUUGAGAUGUCACGAUCUUGAUGUAUCGCGGGCUUUGUUAAUAUAGUCGGAUCAUAUGGUGUUUUCCCCUCUCUAUCUUGUGAUGAAUUGAGUUUUCCCUUUGAGAUUUCGUUGUUAUCGGAUUGAAUACUUUUAUGGAUUUGAGAACACUUGAUAUAUGUCUUGCAAUUGAAUACUCGGGUAUCGUAUUGAUUCACUUGAUAUGUGUUUUGGCACUCAAGUCGCGGAUUCCCGAGGUGACAUUGGGGUAAUCUAUGCAUAGGGGUUGAUGCACGUUCUUGUCUUUAUUUAUCCGGUAGAAAUCUUGGGGCACUCUUUGAAGUUCUUUGUGUUGGAUUGAGUAUUAUGAAUAUGAAUUUGCUUUGGUGUUAUUUUAGUACGAACUCUAGGAUAGAUCGAACGGAAAGAAUAGCUUUGUGUUAUUUUAGUACGAACUCUUGAAUAGAUCGAACGGAAAGAAUAGCUUUGAGGUGGUUUCAUACCCUACAAACAAUUUAUUCUUAUGUUCUCCGCUAGAUAGGAACUUUGGAGUGAUUCUUCAUCGCACUUUGAGGGAUGGUUAUAUGAUCCAAUCAUAUUAGCAUUGUUGAGAGAUUGCACUAGCAAAAGUACGGACCCUAGGCCUCAUUUUCAAGCAUUGCAAUACCGUUUUUGUACCCAUUUACUAUUUGCUACCUUGCUGUUUUUAUUUAUUCAGAUUAUAAAAAUAUAUUUAUACCAUCCAUAUUACACUUUUAUCACCAUCUCUUCGCCGAACUAGUGCACCUAUAUAACUUGCCAUUGUAUUGGGUGUGUUGGGGACACAAGAGAUUUCUUGUAUUUGAUUGCAGGGUUAUUUGAGAGAGACCAUCUUCAUCCUACGCCUCCCACGGAUUGAUAAACCUUAGGUCAUCCACUUGAGGAAAAAUUGCUACUGUCCUACAAAACUCUGCGCUUGGAGGCCCAACACGUGUCUACAAGAAUAAAGUUGCGUAGUAGACAUCAGUAGAAUCAAUGAAAAGAAGGAUGAUUCGGAACAUGAAAAUGCUUCGGUUGAAAAGGCCGAAUCAAGUAGUACAUAUUCCGAGUCCAUCAAAUCCAAAGAGGCAAGCAUUAUUGAGAAAGGGCAUGGCAAGCAUAGCAAAACGACUAUCUUUGUUUUUUCUGAAGUUAACGGAACCUACUUCCUGCCCUAUGAGUUCCGUGCCACAGAAAUUUACAAGCCUCAAGGACAAGAACAAGUAACCAAACAAAGUUCGGUUGACAAGGAUCUUCAAAGUAGCGAGACACAGAAUCAAGAAAAAGGUGAUAAAAAGGCGUUGGGGAGCCAUCCAAAGACAGUGCAAGAUAUUGUUCAAGUCACAACACCAUCGUGCUCUCCCAACCUAAUUGAAGAGGUAUGUUUAGCGAGUAAUUUACCUAUAUUCUGAUUUGGUCAUAAAUUUGUUGUUGAUGCAUCUAUUAGAAAAAUCUUCAUAAGAAAUAUUGAGAGACCAAUAGAGAAUGGUAAUUUAUUUGUUAGCAAUCAGAUUGUCACAAGGCAUAUCGAUCAACAUGUUGCACCAUUCAGAAAGACCGAUGGUGAAAAAUUAUUACAAUUAAAGCUUAUACAUGGUUAAUUUUGCGGCUUACACUUGGUCUCAACUGAGGCGUGUAUGUUCUAACUAUUUUUGAUUCAAAAAAUUAAAGCCAAGGUUAAAUUCUUUUGAGAAAACCGAUGUGAGUAUAAUUUCUUAUCCAAUGACAUCGGAAAAAGAAUGCGAGAAAAAAUUCAUAGCCGAAUGGAAAGAUGCCAAAUCCGAACCAUUCAGGUGCUUACUGUCAGAGCCGUUCUCACACAAAGAUCGGCUAGAAAAUAAAAGGUAUACCUUCAGUUCAAACAUGUGGGAUCAAAUCUUUGAUUUGUUGUUGAGAAAUAAUUAUAUUAGAAUUCUUGAUCACAAUGUCGAGCAAUCUAUCCAUGGACGAAUGUAUUGUAAGUUGCAUGAUUCGUUCAAGCAUAAUUUUGAGGAUUGCAACAUGUAUCGUCAAAUAUUUAAAUCAUCCAUUGAAAAAGGACGAUUGAAAUUUGUUAAAACACCAAGAGAUGACCGGUCUAUUCCAAUUAGUCCUAAUGGUAGAAAGUUUAUGCAUCGGCUGCUUUAGGCCGAUCCAUUUAAGGAGAAGGUAAAAACUACAAGUGAUGGGAUCAGAUUUUCAAGUAAACAAGUUGUUGAAGAACACAAUAAACAUAAUCUUGAGGGUGAGAAUUUCAUCGAAGCUACAAUGAAGACACUAAGGACUGGGGGCAACAAGAAAAUCCAAAGAUCGAUGCAAGUCGAGCCAAAGGAGAUAAAGGCCGCAAUAAGCACAAGAGCAAGAAAUCCAAAGUCACUUUUGCACAAUUAUUAGAUAAAUAUCAAAAGAAGAGUGAAGAGAAAAGUGCUUAUCGGUCAAGUAGUUCAAAAGCAUCAAGAUAACCCCCUAGGCGCAAAUCCGAGGAUCGGUAUUGGCAAAGUGAGAAUCUCAAUGCAACAUAUUCAUAUCCUUACUUUGGGCUGCCAAUGCCAAUGUCGUGGAUACAUCCCUAUGCUCAUGUAAAUCCAUAUCCAUCAUGGGACAGGUAUGAUACAAGGGCACAUUCUCCGUCUUAUUUUAGACCAUCUCACCAAUAUUAUGCACCUCCAAGAAGAUCAACAUUUGAACAAUCACACGUCAAAGACCGUUUCAAUCAUAAGGAAUCAGUCCAAAGCUCAAGGAAUAAGAAAGAGGUGGUCAAACAAGUUUACCACGUGAAAAGAGAUGGUCGUAAGAGUGCUACUUCAGAUUUCAUCUCAGAUGAAAAAGGGCCAAUUAAAGUGUUGACAUUGGUUACUAAAGGCAAUGAGAUGAAGCAAUCAAUUGUUAAGAGUCAAAGUGCCAAAUCUAAAGAAAAUAAGUUGAGGUUGCACAAGGUAAAACAAGAAUUGCCAUUGCUUCAAACAAAAUCAUAUUGGCAAAAGAAGAAAUUACAAAACUAAGUGCACAAGAGCUGAAGAACAGGAACAUGGCAUGGGUUCCCAAAGGAAGCAUUCAAAACAAGAAUGAUAUGCAAGCUUUCAUUGCAAGAAGUGUAGCAAAGGUGAAGAGAAGAGUGAAUGCUAUGAACAACCAAGCCGAAGAUUUCAACAUCUUCGGUCCACACAUUAUCCACGUUCUUCAACUAUACCAUUGAUGCUGAUGCCAUGGAAUUCAUCCUCAGGUAUGAUUGGUUGCCCUCCAUGGGUUUAUUUCGAUCCAUGUAUGCAAUAUAAUUUCCUACAUCAUGCAAGGGUAUUACCACAUCAUCAUACAUUCCAUUAGCUACACUUUUGUUGCUAAUCUAAAUGCCCGAUACACAAUUAUCGCCCUAAGAGUAAAUAUGGCCGAUAUAUACUUAUUGUCCUAAAAACAUGCAAAUGGCCGAUGGAGUGUUGACAUCGUGCUUACAACAAACUCUGUGCAAGUUAUUUUUCGGCACAAAGUUUUGCCGAAAAAUAGGGGGGCAUGUGUUGACACCCGAUUUUUGCAUGGUCAAGAACUUAAUUAAGAUGACCUCAAAUGGAGAAGCGAUCUACAUGAAAAAGUUCCGUCUUGUCGACAUGAUCAUCUUUGAAGUUUGGGCCAUUGCCAUCCGAUAUCAUCUCUGGGGCUGAAGUUGUGCUCGAAGUACUAGGAUUUUGUAUGCAGAGUACUAUUUGGCCAACUAGGCCUCCAAAACAGACUCAUGUGAGAAAAGUUACAACAAGAAAGUUCUUCGUCUCGUCGAAAUAGAUGAUUUUAAUAUAUAAAUCGUCUUAAUCCGAGAUUGUAUGCAAAAGCUACAGGCAAACACGUGCAAUGUUGCAGAAAACAUGGAGAUGGCCACACGCCCAAAACCUCCCGAUGCUACCGAACUGUCCGGUAAUUGGGACCAGACUGUCCGGUCUGGGUCAAGAAACACGUCAGAACCUUCGGUUGUGACCGGACAAUCUGGUCUGGUUGAGCGGGUCUGGUCCAAAUUGAAAUCGUGUAUCUCCAUGAAUAUGAUGAUUGCGGGGGCGAUUAGGCCUUCAUGAUGACCUCGAAUCAAAAACGUUCAACACGAAAAUUCUUCGUCUUGUUGAAAUGGAUAAAUUUGCUUUUGGGUGCAUCUUCAUCUGAGAUCCUUUGUGGCCCGCGAGACCCAAAAACCGAACUGCUGUCUCAGACUUGCCUAAAUCCGAGUUUGGUUAAUUUUGGAAAGGUUUGAACGGGAUUUGGAGUCCUUUUCUUAUACGGGAAGUCCAGCCACCUCCUAAGUAGAUGAGAGGUGACAGCCGAUUGAACAACACACAAUCGAUCAAAUCAAUCUACUACUUUUUCGUGUUCAUCUACCUUUUAUCCAUCUCCCUUGUAUCUUCUUCUCGUUCUUCAUUCGUUCUUCGUUUGCAGGGCGGCGAACCUCGAGGUCCUAGGGGCGAUUAGGUCAACCUAGGGCAGCCCAUAGCCGCCGCGCCCCCUGACGGGUUCCCUCCCGAGCGUGUGGGGUUUCGGGUCUACAAAAGCGCCCGCCGGAUUGCUUGCGUACCGCACUUCUCGCCGGGUCUCCUUUGACGUGAGUUGUGGUGCAUCACCUCCAACGUCGAGGGUACACGGUGACGUGUUCGUGUGCAAACACACUGUCACCGUCUCCGAGCCCAGCGGCGAUACCUAAGUCCUGGUUAUUCACGCCGGCAUGAGGAGGCGGUGGAAGUUCCUCCUCAGGAGAAUCUUGGCGCCACCGCCCUCACUCUCCGGGCCCAUCAGCAUCCACGGCAGCCUCGUCUCCUCAGGGAGGCCGCUCUAACGGACGAAGAAUUCGUCCGUUUGAUGGAGAUCAUGACGGAGCGCUCGCUCCAUCAGAUCGGCCCGGCACCAGCAUCGCCGACGCGCGUGAAGGAGGAGCCACCAUCCCAAACGCAUGUCUGCAUGAAGCGGGAGUCGGCAUCCUCACUCUGGGGGGUGAAGGACGAAUUGGUGUCCCCGCCGCGCAACCGCAGCCUCCACGUCGGAGGUCACAUGAAGGAGGAGCCCGUGUCCCCCAGCGCCUCCGUCGCGUCAAGGACGACCCGGCGUCGCCCUCGCCGCGUAGGUGGUAUGCGCACAUUGAUGGGCCCUCGUCGCCGCCACGCCGCCCGAUAAAGGAGCCGCCGCCGAUGACCCACAAGUAUAGGGGAUCAAUCGUAGUCCUUUCGAUAAGUAAGAGUGUUGAACCCAACGAGGAGCAGAAGGAAAUGACAAGUGGUUUUCAACAAGGUAUUCUCUGCAAGCACUGGAAUUAUAAGUAACGAGUAGUUUGAUAGCAAGAUAAUUUGUAACGAGCAAGUAACGGUAACGGUAACAAAAGUGCAGAAAGGUAGCCCAAUCCUUUUGAGGCAAAAAACAGGCCAAAACGGUCUCUUAUGAUAAGCAAAACGUUCUUGAGGGUACGCGGGAAUUUCAUCUAGUCACUUUCAUCAUGUUGGUUUGAUUCGUGUUCGCUACUUUGAUAAUUUGAUAUGUGGGUGGACCGGUGCUUAGGUGCUGUUCUUACUUGAACAAAUCUCCUACUUAUGAUUAACCCACUCGCAAGCAUCCGCAACUACGAGAAAAGUAUUAAUAUAAAAUCCAACCAUAGCAUUAAACUUUUGGAUCCAAAUCAGUCCCUUGCGAAGUAGCGCAUAAACUAGGGUUUAAACUUCUGUCACUCUCGCAACACAUCAUCUAAUAACUACUCCAUGAUGCAUUCCCUUGGGCCCUAAUAAGGUGAAGUGCCAUGUAGUCGACGUUCACAUGACACCACUAAGGGAAUCACAACAUACAUAUCAUCAAAAUAUUGAACACAUAUCAAGUUCACAUGAUUACUUGCAACAAGAUUUCUCCCCGUGACCUCAAGAACAAAAGUAACUACUCACAAAUGAUAAUCAUGCUCAAGAUCAUAGGGGUAUUAAAUAGCGAUCUGAACAUACAAUCUUCCACCAAAUAAACCAUAUAGUAAUCAACUACAAGAUGUAAUCAACACUACUAGUCACCCACAAGCACCAAUCUAAGGUUCCGGUACAAAGAUUGAACACAAGAGAUGAAUUAGGGUUUGAGAGGAGAUGGUGCUGUUGAAGAUGUUGAUGGAGGUUGCCCUCCCCAAGAUGGGAGAGUUGUUGGUGAUGAUGAUGACGAUGAUUGGGAGGGAAGUUCCCCCGGUAGAAUCGCUCCACUGGAGGGCAAAAGUGCUCCUACCCAAGUUCCGCCUCGACACGGCUGCGCUUCGUCCCGAAAGUCCUCUCCUGAUUUUUUUCUAGGUCAAAAUGACUUAUAUACCAGAAGAUGGGCACCGGAGGUGGGCCGAGGAGGGCACAACCCACUAGGGCGCUCCUGGGCUCCCUGGCGCGCCCAAGUGGGUUGUGCCCAACUGGUGGGCCCCCUUUGGUAGUUAUUUGCUCCAAUAAUUCUUAGUUAUUCCAUAAAAAAUCCCCGUGAAAUUUCAGCUUGUUAGAGUUGUGUAGAAUAGGUAGCCUGAUGUAGCUUUUUCAGGUCCAGUAUUCCAGCUGCCGGUAUUCUCCCUCUUUGUCUGAACCUUGCAUAUUAUGAGAGAAAAGACAUUAGAAUUACUCCAAAAAGCAUUAUUAUGCAUAAAAAAUUAUAAAUAACAGUAGCAAAACAUGAUGCAAAAUGGACGUAUCACCGCCCGCGAUUACGAAGGCGCGUAGCUGCCUCCUCCACUGCCUCGGAGGAGGCGGUCACGACGGUGCCUCGAGUUUGAGGGUCGUAGUAUCCGAAGCGGAGCGUGCAGCGAGGCAUCAGGCGAUGUACGACUGGCACAUUGCCAGUCGUCACUCCGUGUUUGCCAAGACUGACAUGUCAUCGGAAUGGCUUCGCAAUUACCCUAACCUGGCCCCGCGUGGGUGCUCGAUCGCUCCUUUACCACCGCGGAGACGGCUGCCGGGCACCGCUGCCGCCUUGACGAUGAGGAGUGGUCACUUAGCAACUGCUCCACCAACACCGACAUGGGCAAGGCCGUAGCUAUGGCUCUGCCAGCACCAUCGGCAGUGGCCAAGGCGGCCCUCGGCACCACGCAAAUAGGAGGUGGAGCGGCUCCUCCGCGAGCGGCAGACAGCCGUCGGACAAGGCUGUCGCUGCCUUGCGCCGCUGGAAGGACGAAGGCGGCGGCGGCACAGAUGGCGACAACAAUGCGGCAGGACAGGGCGGCCACGCGUACGAGAUGGUCGUCCGGUAUAGGGUUUAGAUUUUCUUUUAUAGCCUUUAGUAAAAUGAUCAAAAUAUUAUCCGUUUAUGUAAAGUAUAUCUGAACUUUAAUGAAAUUCACCGUGUUUGCAUGAAUUUCAUCCGAUUAGUUUAAAUAGUGGUUGAAAUGUAUACGGGUAACGUCGAAUGACCGGCUCUCGCAUCAAUGUCUGUGGACUAGUCCCCUGUCCACGUAUGCAUGCCCAAACAAAUUUGCGGGUUAGUGUCUGAGAUGCCCUAAGCUCCCUUGAAUUGAAUUACAGGUUCCCGGUGAAUCAUGGCGUUGGAGUCGUGUGGGACCCCUCCGUCAGCCUAUAUUGACCCACUUUGAACCGCCUUGAACCAGGCGCGCUGGAUCGCCAUGUUGCUACCGAACACGCAUCCCUUCCACGUGGGCGACGGAAGUAGGGGUAAAAGCUCUACAACGUGUUUGGUUGGGGGGAGUUGGAGGUAGGGAAUGGGAGUUUAACGUGAGUGGGACUUAAAAUCUGCUGAUUGGUUCAGUGACUUGGGAAUUAACGAGGGAAGGGGAAGGGGAAUUACGAGGGCCAACUUCCAACGAUCUUUUCCCUAGGGGACCCUGGUAAUUCAACGAAGGAAUGGGAGUUGGCGUCUAGAAAAAUAGUGCUCCCUAAUCUGCAGAUAAAACGCUAAAAAUAAUGUUGCAGAUUUGUUCGGCCACCUCCCACGGUGAAAGAAAAAAAGGACGAAAUCCUUGCUAAAUACUUGCGGCGGCAUUUUCUCCAAAUAAAUCGGUGUGAGCUAACUGCUCCCUGAUACUAUGCAGAUAAAAUGGCAAGCACAAGCACAACUCUCGCCAAGCGACGGCACCAUAUAUCCCAUCUGAUUUUGAUUUUUUUGUUGCGGGAUAUAUCCCAUCUGAUUUUGCUAGUGACAAAGUUUGAUUUUUUUCAUCUUUCCCUUCACAAACUGAUGGAGAUCUAUUUCCUUUCUACUCAUUUUUUAUGCCUUCACAUGUUACAGAUUUGUUUCAUCAUUUUUGUUUUUCCCUCCUUCUCUUUCUUCAUGUGAAUUAUUCUCACAAAUAAUUCCCAAACCACACCAAACGUGGGAUUGAGACUAAUAGUUCACUUCCCAAGUCCAAUCCUUCAGCCAACUCCCUCUCAUAAAUUCCCUUUCCCUUUCCCUUAAACUACCAAACACGCUGCUAGGGAAAUCCCAUUGUUAGAGUCCAGAACAAAAUGAAGCCUCCUCAGGCCAUUGGAUUUUGGACCGUCCGAUUGCGUGUCCAAACGAGAUCUGGCCGUUGGAUCGCGAGAUGGAUCGAUCCGGGCCGUCGGAUCGCGAGAUGGAUUGAUUCGGGCCGUCGGAUCGAUAGAAACACUGCUACAACACUCCAGUUCAUGCCACCGCCUAUAAUUUCCCUGCCCCACCGAGGGCAUUCUUGUCUUUUCACACUAUCCCCGUCGCGCCCCUUCCUUUCUCUCGUGCCCCAGCCGCCGCCGCUCGCCCCAUCCCCAUCCCCAUCGCAUCGCCACCCCCACCCCCACCCCUCCUCCCAUCCCCUAACCCUAGCUCCUCCCCUACAUCGCGCCGCCUGGCCUCCUCCCCUCCCGUCGCGCUAGCGCAUCCCCUGCCGCCAUCGUCGCUCGCCCCGGUCCCCGUCCUGCAGCGGUGUCCGAGGAGGACUAGCCGCGCCACGGCCGCACAUCCCGUCCUGCAGCGGUGGUCCACGGGAUCGGCACCGGCACCGGCCUCCUUGCUCCCGCUCGAGUCAUGGAGGGACAACCAGCAGCGGCGGCCCAGGAGAUCGACGACUAGCCGAGGCGAGUCGCCUUCGAUUCUGCAGGAGCCCGACGGCUGUCUCCUCCUCUGCAGCCGCACACGAGCGGCCAGCCCUGGACUAGGUCGCGGCAUGAGAAGCGGACGUCCGAGGCAUGUCCAAGUGCGCCCCUCUCCCUCCCUGCGCGCGCGUGUGUGUGUGUUUGUGUGGGCCUGAUUCCGUUCGUCCGCGCUGGCUUGGCAGCACCACUGCCCGCUCGAUACGUCCCCCGCCCCAGCUGCCGACCCCCUCCUCCACGGCGGCGCCUUCGUCCCCGGCGACGCACGACAGCAGCCCACUACAGGUGAUAUUCGAUUUCAUGGUGAUGUACAUGCUUUGCAUGCUUAAUCCUAGCACUACUUCUGUUUUCUUUUGCACACAAGGGAACUUGCUAUUCCUGCGGUCAUUGAUUAGUAAACAAAGAGGCAAGAGGGAGGGAGCAAUGGAUAAGAAGGUAACAAAGAUAGAUGCUCUCGUUGGCAGCGGCUUUCGUGGAGGGUGGCGCGCAGGACACCUUCGCCCCGAAACCAUAGCUGUACGUGCGGGUGCGCUGACGUCUCUCUGCUGUGUGGUGGCACAGGACGGUGAAGAUAGGGGACAAGAGCUGCUCGCUGCAGCCGCUUGUCGGCGGCCCCAAUGGCCUCGUCCCCUGCCAAGGCAAGGAUGGAUGAUUAUACUGUUCUCCCUUCCAGUUCAUCUCUGCACUCUACUCAUUCAAACAUGCCUUGCUGUUUCACCUUAGUAACAACAAUGGAUGGCAUUGGUUGAUUGGUACAGAUGAUAAGCCGUGAGAUGGCGGUGCCGCCGAUGGCCAGCCGCAGGAUGAGACCAGGGACAAUAGGUCCCUGGUCGACAAUAACACCGUGCAGACGCUGUCCAGCAAGGACAUCGAGGCGACGAAGCGGUGAGGAUUCAAUUGAAUGUUGUCCACAUGUCCUGCUCGAGUAGGAUAUUUACUUUCCUUUCUCUGUUUUUUAAUGAGAUCUUGAUGUCGUGCGGGUUUUUAAUAGGGAGGGUGCCAGCGGUGACGCCAUCGUGGAGGCUUUGAUAGCAAAUGGCUCCACAUUUGGAAAUAAGACAGUGUUCUCACAGGUUGGCAUCCGUUACUUAUUGUCUGGUUUGUUUCCUUGCUAUUUUGGUGGAACACUGAGGUCUGAUUUUGUAUGACCGUUUUCGGUUGCAGGAGAAAUACAAGCUGAAGGAACAAAACAAAUAUGCGCCUAAAGUGCUUUUGCGGCGCCCCUCUACCCGAAGGUAUCUCAUGCCACUCUGUUUGUAGAAGGAAAGAUAUGUCAUAUAUUUUGUAAGCAAAUACUAUCAAAUUUGUGGUUCUGUGUGAGUGUGAUUGUCACACAUGCGACCAUAUGUAGUAUCACACAUUUCAUUUUAAUAUAAAGAUGCAUCUUCUGAUUAGCUCUUUGCGGUGGAUGUCCUGCCCAAAGUAGCGAACCAGUUCUCUGGAGUAUCUUCUUAACUGCAGUUUGAGGAUUGUUGUAGUGUAUGAAUAAAGUAGGACAAGUAAGAAAGAACCGCUGCUUUAUUUAUAAUUUCGCUACAACAACUGAUGAAAGCACAUCUAGCUCUAUGGUGGCAAUGUAGUUUGUUGUGGCUAAAAUUUACUUAGCCCAACUAACCUUAGGUCAGACCAACUUCGGCGAGUGGUGUAUUCCAACAUACAAAUUCAGUGCAUUUGAAUCAAGAGAUGAAAGUGGUUGGAGGGGGGAAAUAAGAAAGACUAAAAUGCAAUGUUUUUAAACUUAUAGCCUAUGGAAUUUGAGACCUGCUGUUGUUCUUUUUGAAUAUUCUUGUAUCCACUGUUUACUUAAAAAGUGGUGUUCAGAACAAGAAAUAAGUUCUGCCCGCAUAAAAGUUGCAGUUCAGAAUCCAUUUGUUAGGUUGGUCGGUGUGGGAAUGGGAGGGUUUUAAUUUCUUAAUAGAACAUGUCCCGUUUUCCAACUUUUGGUUUGAAAGAUUACCAAGUGAACUGGAUUUAACGUAGUUAUUGGAAAGUUGGCAUAAUUUUGAAAUAAUUCUGUUGUAAGUUGUAUUUACAUAGUGCUUGGCACUUGAAAAAAUAUUUUCCUUUUUUAUUUUGUUCAUUACUCUUAAUAUAUACUACUAGAAAGUGUGUAAAUUAUCUAAUUUUUUUGUUCCCUUUUAUGCUACCGCAUCUGUGAGACAUAUUUCAAGAAGUACCCAGCUCGAAUAGGGUAACUAUUUCCGUUUCAUUACUUGCUAGAGCCAAUCUAUUAUUUUUUCCUUCUCACCAUCAUAGUCAAUUUCUUGAUCUUGCAUAGCUGUAGCACUUGGUUACUUAAUGCUGUCUUUUCUUGUUCCUCAGGUUUAUGUGAGUUGAUGCACUCUCCCUCUUGUUGUCUAUGGCAAAUGUUGGUGCAUAUUCAGAUGUGCUUGCCGUUCAUAUGGUUGGGGGUUUAGUUGUUGGAGCUGUAUCUGAACACUUAGGAGGUAAAAUAUGCUUUCUUCUAUGGUAAUGGAUAUUAUUUGGUGUUAAAUUAAAUUUUCCAAUUGAAUGAUACUGUUUUAACCUUGCUGUUUGUUGACAAAUCACCCUGAUUUAGCGGGAAGUUGUUAUGUGUUGUGGCAUGUAAUCACUAAUUCUCUCACGAGUUACAUUACUUGUUUCCAUCAAACUGCAAUAUACAUCUCCGAAUAUGAAAGCUUUAGGCUGACCUGCCAUUGCCAGCUCGAGGUGUUUGUUAGUAUUUGUGAAUGUGCGAAGUAAACCUGAUUCUUGUGUGUUGUGCAUCGCCAUUUACAUAUCUUAUUAAUGAAAAUCAUAGCUGAUUAUCUCUGUUAUAUAGGUAUUUCCACACAAAUUUUAUAUCCAAAUCUUGUCAUUCAUGUUGUUGCAGGGAUUUGCGCGGUGGAGACAGCUAUCCAUUUGUGCGGUCAUUGGAUUAGUAAACAGAGAGGGGGGAGGGAGGGAGCAAUGGACAAGAAGGCAACAAAGAUGAAGAUGCUCUCGUCGGCAGCGGCUUUCGUGGAGGGUGGCGUGCAGGACACCUUCGACGACGCCUGCAACAUCUGCCUUGAGGCCUUCUGCGACAGCGAGCCCUCCGGUAGCGACCUCUCUCUUGCGGAUGUAAUGGUGAUUGGCGAUGGAAAUCUUUUGAUUUGGUGGUAGACGUGUCGGAAGUUGAAGCUGUUCUGGUUCUUGUUUUGAAUUGUCACAGGUUAGCUGCAAGCAUGAUUUCUAUCUCCAGUGCAUCCUUGAGUGGUGAGGACCAUGCUUUCUUGUCUUUGCAAUUUCCCCUCAAGUUCUUUGACCACUUGAUUAGAAAUUUAGAAUGAUAUUGCCUGAAACUAUCGUAUGAGUACGCAUUUUGCUGUUGUUAGUUUGUUCAUUGGCCUUGGCUUUAUUUAAAAGUGUAUGUUUCAUGGGCCUUGGCUUUAUUUAAGAGAUACCUCGCCGGCUCUUUUUUUAAAAGCUAAAGGGACUAUCUGAUUUGUUCUCUCUGGUCUACUACCACCCCUUAUUCUUGGGCUUUGGUCUGCUACAUUUGGCCUGAUAUUCUUCUUUGGUGUCCACAUGAGAAAAAAAGGAUGCCUAUGAUCAAAUAUCAAUCACUUAUUUUUCUAGGUUGUAUAGAUUUCUUGAAUUGCCUGCAGUAUACUUCUUUGUCAACUAAUAUAUGUCUCCCUGACGAUUUCAACAAAUACCAAGGAUAUGGUUAGGCGCACAUAUGCUUGUGUUUAUGACGACACCUGCACCAGUCGUUAUAGUAGUUGUUGUUGUCCCCCCCCCCCUCCAAACUCCCUUCUCUGGGUGAGAGAUCCCUCUCCUUUCCUUUCUAUUUGUUGGGUUUCGCUUUGUGCCAUCAUUUGAUUGGUUGAAUGACACAGGAAGAAAGUGAGAACAGAGUGCUUCUCUCCUAAGUUAUACUUGUAUGUCUAAAUUUUUCUCAAAUGACAUGACACCCAGUGUCCUGCAUGAUAUUUUCACACAAACAUGUUAAUUGUUUUGCAUAUAUUGGUGAAGUUUAAUUCAGCUUCAGAAAUGAGGGCAUGCGAUACAUGUUGUGUGCAUUUGAUUUCAGAAUGUUUUUAACCCGCCAUGCAUGAUAAUCGUGUGGUAGCUACAUGUAUGUUAGAUUGCUGGACAUCUGAAGGAGCUUGAAUAGGUAUUUCACCAUCUUAUGCAACACCGUUGCGUAUCUACACCUAUAUCAUGUUUAUUAACUAAACGUUCUUCCAUGUGAAACUCACUAGAUCUUUGGUAUGUGUUUUCCUCCAAUCCUUGCUUAACUGUGUGAUGUUGAAUCAUUUAAAAUGGAUGUUGAAUCCUACAUGCUAUGCUAUGUCAUGCUGAUUUAUAAUUUGAUUUCCUAUUAUUGUUGGCAAGCUCUUGCUCGCAGUUCACAUUGUAUGAUUGGUAUUUUGUGCAUGACAUGGUGCGGAUUUCCUAGCUUCUUCAAGAAUGUCUGCUUGGUUUCUCCUGAUUUUGUAAAUUCUUUCUUCGGUGACUUCUGUAAUUCAUGAAUGUGUGUCACUCGUCAUGUUAGUUUAUGCCUUUUGCUCGGGUUUUGGAUCUAUUAAUUGGACUAAUUAAUAGAUUUAACUUACUUAAUGUUUAGAUAGCAUCUUAGGACCUUUGUAUGUCUGUGAAACUGUGAGUAGAAACACUUGAAAUUUGAUGUUUUGCUGGCUACCUAUUAUUGCAGUUAUAGAAGGUCAUGACUGACCUGUGAAACACUUGGGCACACCAAAGGUUGGUGAUUCGAAUCAAAGAUUAGUGUAUGCUAUGUUACGUUGUUUCCCUCAUCUGAUUAUUGUUGCUGCCGGGUUAACAUGAAUGCUAAGUUAUAGGCGUCUUGACUAAUUAAUAAAUGAAACCGAAGAGGAUGGGCAGAAAGCAAACUAAUUUUAUGUACGCCCAACAUUGUUUCUUUGGAUGCUUAUAUGAAUGGUUUUAAACUUUUAAUGGAUGAGCUGAUGGCAUAACUUGGUUCUCCUCUUACAGAUAAGCGCAUUCAUGUUCUGAAGCAAUGCCUUCUUGAACGUGUAUAGGAAAUAAGCUCCGAUGCAUUUAUUUUAGUACUUGGAUACUCUUUUGCUUACAUGUCUGCCGGGAAGAUACAAUGUCCUACAAGUUCGAAUACAGAGCUACCACUAUAAAUUCUACUUGGUUGCAUCUGACCUAAUGUUAUUCAUUUCCUUCUGCUCCAGACAAGACAAGCAGCAGCGGCGACGCCGGACCAGUCACCCCCGCACCUCCAGUUUUCCUUCAGGGUAACUAACCACGGGCAAAUGCUUCUGUCAUUUCUUUCGCUUGUGAUUCCUCUCGUUGGGACCAUGGUUGUUGCCUUUCCCUCUGCCUGUAAAAUCGUACUGCAGAGGCAUCUAGCACCCACCAUGAACAUCGGUGUGAGGUCUUGGAUCAAGGCUCCCCUGGACCAGCAUCGUCUGCUAGCGCACGCGUGCCUGCUUCUGUGCAGAUUGACUGAUCUAGCCUCCACCUAAAUUUCCUGCAAUUACGAUUCAGCAAGAGAUCAUAGGUAGUCUAAUUUGUUUUCCCAAAACCUAAGUUCAACGAUGGAGUUAGAUACAGAUUAUCCAUAUGCAUAUUCUGUCCAUAUUACUGUCCUGAACAGAUAGCCUGAUUGUUCCACUUAAUUUAGGUCACUAAUUACAUGCAAAUAGUACUACACUAUACGUCUAAUUUUUCUGCAAUUGCUUCAUUAGAUAGCCUGAGUGUUCAAAAAAUUGUUCUAUACUUUGUCUUUGUCUUCCCUGAUUUUAAUUAACCCUGUUGAGCUUCUUUAUGACGUAGGCUGUGAGCCUUGUGUUGGGAGGAUCCCAGGCCGAAUGAUGCUUGAUCUCCUUUUGGAGGAGCUUGUGUUUACCGCAGCCCGUUAUAGUCGAAGGGGCUAUUUAAGUAACACCAUGAGUUCAUUUACUGGUGUUCGAUCCUCCGAUGAGGCAGCGGCGGAAGACUUGCCUUUUUGAAGCCAUCAGGACCAUCGAAAAUGCCACAAGAACAGUGGUCAAAGAUCUGAAUUAUGGACGCUUAAACAAGAUGGAACAAGACUUUGGUUAUCUAAGGCUCAGGCUCAAUGAAGCAUUUGACACAAUAGACAGGGUUGCCAAAGGAUAUUUGUAUGCUAUAAGAUACAUGCCAGCUUUCUUACAUCAGCUUCAUAAUGUGAUAGCACAUACUUUUCCUCCUACUCGUGUUGUGGACAAGUCAACAAAUGAGGCUCUCAAGAAUAUUGAGGUGGUAGCUCAUAAUCUCAGGACAGAAGCAAUAGUCUUGAGAACAAGCUAUAUGUGUUGAGAAGGCAGAGUCAAGCGCGCGUGAACAUGUGUAGCUUGCUUUCGGACUAAAUCCUUUGUAGUUGUGUGGACCAACUUUUAUAUACUAAGGGCGUGUUCGGUAGCCCUCCAGUCCUCCACAGCCACCAACUCCUCAACUCCAUCGCCAGGAUCUUCUCGCCAGCUUCUCCCGAGCGAGCCGGGAGCGAGCGAAACGUUCGGAGACACGGCUUCUCGCUCGUACCAUGAGUCAGUCUGAAGCCCAUGAAAUUGUCCCAAUGUGGCCCAAUCAACUCGAAAUUUGUAGCAGGCUCAUAGCCCAAUUCGCUGCCGGUUCGUUUCUUCGCGGUGGGAUUGGUCGGUCGUGCGAGUCGUGGGAUUAGAAGCUCGAACCGGUACGCUCAGGCACACUUCGCGGUGGCAGCCUCGUGUAAUUUUGAACAACUCCAACUUCUCAUUUUUUCUGGAGCUCGGGUUGGGCAACUCCACGACUCCUUCGAUUUUGCACGACGCUCAACUCCAGCUUCUCUCGCCCAUAGCCACGUUUUGAAACGUUCGGCUGCACGCCCGACCUGGAGUCUAGGAUUUGAGGAGCAGGAGGGCUCCCGAACACGCCCUAAAUAUGUAUAGCCUGCUUUUGGACUGAAGCUGUUGUUUCCUGAACCAAUUGCUAUGUAUUGAAUGUG
rnacentral:lncRNA from 1 species